UACGGAGGGAGCUAGCGUUGUUCGGAAAUACUGGGCGUAAAGGGCGCGUAGGCGGCCUGUUAAGUCGAACGUGAAAUCCCCGGGCUCAACCCGGGAACUGCGUCCGAUACUGGCAGGCUUGAAUUCGGGAGAGGGAUGCGGAAUUCCAGGUGUAGCGGUGAAAUGCGUAGAUAUCUGGAGGAACACCGAUGGCGAAGGCGCAAGCUCCUCGAUGGACCGGUAGUAGUGA
rnacentral:rRNA from 1 species